ensembl:lncRNA
CUUAGAACAAGCCCCAGCUGCCAAAAUCAACUGUAAAGUCUUGAUAUUCUCAGCCUUCAUUUGAAAAGACAGAGAAGACGAAAUCAAAUAAUUAAAGUGUGCACUGUAGUGAAGGAAAGUUUGCAUGAACAAACGUCCCCUGUGGGCAGAUAGGCCAGCAUUUUGUAAAGCUGUUAUUUUAGGCUAAGCUUGCAAUCCUCUCAGAAGAAGAUUUCUCAUUUCUUUGUGGGAAGAGCAGUACAGCUAGCAGGGCAGUCGUUACUUGGAGAGCAGUCCAGUCUCCUCUGCUUAGAAAUGGAGCUUUGGCACUGGCACAUGCAGAUGCAGCUGGAUCUCUACCACCUUUUUCACUAGAAGGGCUUUUAAGCCUCUCAGUCCUCCUGAGUGAACAAGGUACCUCUUCUCUGCACACACUGCCAGAGCAGCUUGAACACCACAGAGUAUCCAGAUCUCAUAGGAGAAGAUCCUUCUCAGGAAUGAUAAAACAACGAGCAAAGCAAGAACUGCCAGGCCGGCUGGGUGCUCCAAUGGCCGAGGAAAAGCUGAUGCCCAGGUAUAACUGCAAUGUCAGUGAAGUUACCAUUGUGAACCUGCAGCCCAACAAGAAUCCUACACUUAUCCUGCCAAAAGAGAAGCCAGGAAGUGAACACAAAAACCCUGGUAUACAUCCUCCUUCACCCAGGAUGUCAGAGAAGAAGACAGCCCAGGGAGAUAAAAAAUUGUGGCCAGAAAAGGGAAAGAGAGAGGGGUCUUUGUCUCCCAGCCUGCACCGUGCAAAUGAAUCAUAUAGCACAGAGAAUGUUACCCUGAAGAGGCCAGUGAAGUUGGCUCCUCUGGAGAUCCCUGUGGAAGUGAAAGAAGCCCAGCUCCAAAAGAUUAUGAGCAUCCAGAGAGAAGCUCAAAUGGCUGCUCAGAAGCUGACUUCUAUUAGCUCCAUUAGCAAUGAACCCCAUGUAAAAAGGGUGAAGAAUCUGGCCCAGGGGGAGCUGGAAAACCUUCAUAAGAUAAAGCUGAGUGAGAAGGCUGCUAUGGAAAAUAAAGAUGAUCCCCCUAAGAGCGGCAAGCCCCUGGGAGAAAUUCAAGUUAUUUUGCCUCAAGAGACAGGCUCAAAAUUGACUAAGCAACCAGGUUUUGAAGAUGCUCCCAGGACACUUCAUAAGCCAUCAAUUCCCGUUCUCCAGGUGGAUGUACAUGAAGACUCUAACAACCCUGACAGUACCCCUGAUCCUUGCCAGAACAACUGUCGACGCCGAUUCAGAGUAAGGCACGUGAAAGAGCAGCAGGAAGACCAGGGGAAAGCCAAACCCUUAAAGGUUUUGGAUUCAAGUGUGGGAGAAGGGAAGAAGAAAUCUGCAGUUCAGCGAACACAAAAAACCCUCAGUGAUGCAAGCAAGCUAAUUGAGAAUGUGGCCAAAAAGCAGAAAGAAAGAGGAGCACAGCAAGAGGAAGCAGACGAAGCUUCUUUUGAAAAGAGGCAGUCUACUCGAAGGAUGGCCUUAGGAGACAUCAUCCAGGUGGAUGAAGACUGAAUAUCAUGCGCCAGGUCAUGCACAGGAGAUUUAGAUACAACAGAUAUUCAACAAAGUGCUCUAGACUGACUUUCUAGAUAGAAUUCUUCAGAAGAAUAUCUACAGACAUUAGUGGAGCACAGUGUGAAAAGAAGUUGAAAUUGUUGAAUGUUUCCAUAUUCUGAGAUGCACAGAAGUAGUAAAUAUCCUCCUACUCUGUUCAGUAUUAGAAAUGUUCCAGCUAAAGUCCUGAGUUCAGCGUGGACUGCAAAUCAGCUGUCAACUAUGCAGGGAAAAUCCAGUUGUGGAUUGAGUGGAAGUGCCCAGAGAAAAGCAGGAUCUUAGAAAUUAUUCUGUCUGGUAUAAGACUGAAAGAAAUAGCACUAUUUUCUCUGUUUUCUGUAUUUUCCUUGUCCUCCUGUGUUGUGGCAAGUUUGUUGAAGACAAGAAGGAAAGACUGAAAAUGUUCUUCCUAUCCAUUGUGGGCAGGACAAAAAAGUAAUUUGAUUAAAGUUUAGAAAAAGACAUAUGAGUUAGAAAAGGAGAAAUAAUUUAAAGACAAUAAACAGUGAACUAUGCUGUUUACA